UCAGUCGGUAGAGCUCCUGACUUUUAAUCAGGGUGUCCCGCGUUCGAGUCGCGGAUAGAUCACCA
rnacentral:tRNA from 1 species